CUACCUUUGCACUUUAUUGGUUUACGUCUAUAAUUUUAUAGAUAUAAUUAAAAGGGAAUCAGGUAAAAUAGUUAUUAACUUAAUAAUCCUGAACUGUUCCCGCAACUGUAAGUUUAGUCCCUUUUUGGGAUGCCUCUAAUGAAAAUCUUCAACAUCCACUGUUCUUUUUAGAAUGGGAAGGACCAUUAGUAGGACACGAGUCAGGAGACCUGCCAAUUUUACCAACAAUUA
rnacentral:ncRNA from 2 species